GACGAACGCUGGCGGCGUGCUUAACACAUGCAAGUCGAACGGAAAGGCCCUGCUUUUGUGGGGUGCUCGAGUGGCGAACGGGUGAGUAACACGUGAGUAACCUGCCCUUGACUUUGGGAUAACUUCAUGAAACUGGGGCUAAUACCGGAUAGGAGCUCCUGCUGCAUGGUGGGGGUUGGAAAGUUUCGGCGGUUGGGGAUGGACUCGCGGCUUAUCAGCUUGUUGGUGGGGUAGUGGCUUACCAAGGCUUUGACGGGUAGCCGGCCUGGGAGGGUGACCGGCCACAUUGGGACUGGGGUACGGCCCAGGCUCCUACGGGGGGGAGGAGGGGGGAAUAUUGCAAAAUGGGCGGAAGCCUGAUGCAGGAACGCCGCGUGGGGGGAGGAGACCUUCGGGGUGUAAACCGCUUUUGCCUGGUACGAAGCGUGAGUGACGGUAAUGGGUAAAGAAGCAACGGCUAACUACGUG
rnacentral:rRNA from 1 species